rnacentral:lncRNA from 1 species
UUUUUGUUUUUCUUUCAGGUUAAUUUCUUCGUGCAUAAAUUGUUAUGAAAGUAGUGAAGACUUACAUACUGAAUAAUUAAAUUGAAGGAUGAAGUUUUAUAAUGGAGAUAGACCCACAAAAACUGCUUUUAUAAUAUCAACAUUCUUUUUGUUGUUUUCUUGUUGUAUUGGCGCACUUCCGUUUACCAUCCAGCCUGAUGAAAUGGCAACUGUAGUUGGAAAGGCGUUUACUUACAAACUGCCUGCCGAGAUGAGCACGCACGCUGGUUAUACUUUUAAGGUAAUUGAGAAAUAUGAAUUAACUAAAAACUAGCGUGGACGAAGAAUACACUGUAUUAUUGCUGCAGUUAAUGGCUGUUAGACUGUUUUAUAGAAUAAUUAUACCAUUCGCUCACGUCGUUUAUAACUGAUAGCUGACUCGGCGUUACGCACCUCGUCGGCUAUCAGCUCAUGUACGACUCGAGCUCAUGGUUUGAAUAGUUUAAAUUUUGUUGGCACGCAGCGGUUGUGAGAAUAUAUGUAAGACAAUCGGUGUCAAAACAAUGCAUGCAUGGGUGCUCCAAAAUGUUAUGUAAUAUUUCGAAUUCGACAAUGAGGACUGGACUAGAUUUUAAAAUUCUCGUAGUUCCAUGCCCAUGAUUUGUUCAGUUUGAUUUAUUUGUGCAUGUGCAGCACAUUUGGGAUAAAUUACUGUUUUAGGUUUCAAAAUGGACAAAUUCGCUAUUUUUGUUUCAUAUAGCUCUAAAUUUCAUGUCGAGUGCGUUGUACCGGCGGUGGUAAAUCACGUGACAGAUUCGUAUGUGAAAGUUGAAACUUCAAUAUGCAUGCUUUUCUUCACGGCUUUCGUCGAGGAAACGCAAAGAAAAUAUUGAGUUUUCAUUGAAAAUUUACGUAAUUUAGCGCCUUAGAAAAAUAAAUCGAGGUAGGUAAAGCUUUGCUGUUUUUAAUUUAGCUUAUAUUCUGUUAUUUGACAAUUUGUUAUUAUUUUGGUGCCGUUGUGCUCGCACAGUGGCACUGAUAUUUAUUUAUCAAUUAUCAGGCAUUUAAUGUUUGUGAAAGGCCACGCUAUCAAAUUCUAAUUUUUUAUACGCUCAAAUUGAAACGAAGCCAUUGUGCUAGCACUGAUUAUAUUGUGUGUAAAACUUCAAAUUUCAAAAUUACAUCACAUUCUGAAAAUAUAAACGAGCUAUUGUCUACUGAAAAUUUAAUACAACGAAAUAGCAUUCUACUUCGAUAAUUUCAAUCAUACUGUAGUCGAGAUCAUAGUUUAAUAAUUAUUUUCAAUCUAUUAUAGUAAUUCGCGGCUUCCACGGGUUUUUAUACUUUCACUAAAUUUGUAGGAAAAUAUAAACAUUGUUUACUUCCAAUAGUCGAUCAGUGACGAACCUUGACCUGUUGACCUUGUUAUUACCGUCCCUUGCAACUACAGAUGAACAGUCGCGAAAAGUUGGAAAAAGUUUUGUUAUUUUGACAUAAUAGCUAUUUUUCAAUAAAUAUAUUCACUGUAAAUUUCAGGGAGUUAAUUUAACUCCAGUGGUAUUAUUCUGAACCUAAUUUUACUCCACAUUUGGAGUUAAUUGAGGUACAGUAUAACUCCACCGGAGUUAAAUUAACUCCCCGAAAUUAACAGUGUUGAUAUUAAACUUAUUGAAUCAAUAUGUUAAAGUUUCAGGCCAGUUGUACCCAGGGCAUUUUUUAAGAAUUCGUCAGUGUGGGGGGGGGCAUCUACAAAAAGGGACCAUACUAUACAGAGUGUGGAGCAAUGAUAGAUGGUUUGUUGGUAACAAAAAGUUUGGUGUGGUAUCGCAUUUAAUAGUCGGGGGGAGGGGAGAGCAGGGCCGUAGGAAGCUUUUUUCGUUUGGGGGCGCUGAAAACGAGGGCCGACGGCCCGAGGAAAUUUUUAAAUUUAGAGUCUCUGAAAUGCCAUUUCCUGGACUUUGGGGAAGAUUUGACAGAUUUCUGAUUGUCAAAAAACAGCGUUUUUAGUAUGUGGAAAUUUAGAGUUCAGUAGUACUAAAUGGGCGAAGGUGUAUUUAAUUAACGAUAUAUUGGAUAAGUUGCAGGAAAGUAUGGGUAAUAUCUUCAUUCUUUGCAGUUUGUCAUGGAUUAAAUAAUAAAGGUCUGCAUGAUUUAAAAAAAUGAAUGAUUAUUAGCAAAUUACUGGGGGGCUGCAGCCCCCCAGCCCCCCCCCCCCACACCGUGCGCGGUUGCUACGGCCCUGGAGAGGGUCUGGGGUUUUCUCCCCCAGAAAAUUUUUGUAUUUUUCUACCCCUAUGACUGCAAUUCCCUGCAUUUUCUGAAACAGAUUUUUUGAUAUACAGCAUUACAUUAUGCUGUAGAUAGACUGAACCUUCAGUUAAGUACUUGCAUAGUAUGUUUAUGUAGAUACCACAACUUGGCCGUCACUUAGGGAGCCAGCCAGCUUGAUAAACUUAGAGUUCCCGACUCCCACGAAACGCCACCAUGGUUGGCACAGAGCGGAAAAAUUUUGAAAAUUUUGCGUCUCUAAAUCGUCGAAAAUGGCAUUUUCAAAGUCUUCUAUACGUCUUUUGUUAGGCCCUUUCAUUAAUUCGUUCAUUAUGAUUUGUGAGUCUAUGAUAUCCGCGAGUCAGGAUGGAUUAUUACGAGAAAUGUUAUCAAAAUAUCGAUUACAGAUAUUUGAUUAUAUAUGUAUAUAUAUGAUUUCAAAUACUUCUAGUUUUCCCUCCCCCCCCUUAUAAAACACUUGGUUGAGGGCCUGUUGUCCCCUGCGGUCACUAACUUGUCCAACAACUCAAAUCUAUAGGGUCUGGGAAAUGCAAUCCACUGCCUGGGAAAUGUUUACAGUAAAAUCUAAUAAGGUAUUUAUUAAACAUAAAAGACAGGACAUAAGAUUCACAUAGCAAAUUUCAGUUACUAGAAUAUCAAACCUCCCUUCUAAAUUUCAUGUUUUGCUU